UUCACCAAUCAGCGUUAGGGUUCUCUGUAUAAAAGAUAACGUCACGUUUUCAGCUUCCUCCUUUUCAACUGCUUGCUACACGUACGAAGAUGUUAACGUUGCCUGAAGGGGAAGUUUCGUUUAACCACGGAGUUCCACCGCAAAUCACUACUUUCUGUCCAGAGGUUGGAUGAUGCAGAAGCUAGAUGUGUCGACCUGAAUGAAACUCCAUGAUCUUCUGGAUAUAGGCUGAAUGAACAACCUUGCAGGUUAAAUUUAUGCAGAACAAGCUGAAUGUUUUGACCAGGACCUCCUCCAUGGGCUGAAUGAACCAACAUGAAAGCCAGAUGCAGACAGUGCAGUGCUUUCAUGAAGCGAUAGUGGGCCACUGUUCUGGUGCUGGUGAGCUGUAGGACUGGUUGUACAGUGUGCUUAAAAGACGUAGGUGCUUGAAUGCUCUUGGCCUGUGCUUGCAGUUUGCUCAAGUUUAACUGUUUACAUGUGCAACUUGACUUUUUUUAUUAAGCAUUUAAUUUUAAAUAAAAGCCAUUUUGCAACAAUUCUAAUGUAUUUGCAAGUGAUACUGAAGUAACAAGUUUAAUCUGUACAACCACUGUGUAAUUGGUGUCUUCACAACAUAAAAUCCAACCUAAUUAACAAUAAAAGUACAUGACUAACUGCUGUAAA